rnacentral:rRNA from 1 species
UACGAAGGGGGCUAGCGUUGCUCGGAAUCACUGGGCGUAAAGCGCACGUAGGCGGCUUUCUAAGUCAGGGGUGAAAUCCUGGAGCUCAACUCCAGAACUGCCUUUGAUACUGGGAAGCUUGAGUCCGGAAGAGGUGAGUGGAACUGCGAGUGUAGAGGUGAAAUUCGUAGAUAUUCGCAAGAACACCAGUGGCGAAGGCGACUAACUGGACACGUAUUGACGCUGAGGUACGAAAGCGUGGGGAGCAAACAGG